UGUAAACUGAGUGCCACGGACCUGGAGCAAGUGGGAGAGCCGGUGUGCACGAGAGAAAAGAUGGAGCCGCACAAAGCCGCCCCUCCACCCACCCGCGCUCUCCUUUUGAGUCGAGCUGCGCUACAGAGUUUGCAGCGUGAUGUGUGCCUAAGGCGUCCUUGGCAAGGGACUCUGCCUAACGCAUCCUCUUUGUCAGGGAGACGCUCGGAAGGGGCUCAGCCAUUUCUCCCGCUGAACUGCAAAUGUUUCCCCCUCAUUCUCGGCCCGCUGACUUGGGGUUAGCUGGCGGGGCCGGGGACAAAGCGCUUCGCCUGCCCUCUAAAAAUAGAAAGCAUUCAAUGUUAUUCCCCGAAGUGCCACCCUAGGGAAGGGAACUUUCAGGAAUAGCAUCACAAGCGUCUAAUCGAGCGGAUUGGUCAGUGCGGUGAGGUCACUUGCAGAAGCUCUGCCUCCUGAAAGCUGGAGUGGAGGGAAUAUACCAGCUCAGAGAGCUUCCUCGUAGAAAGGCCUGAUUCCUCCCUGUUGUCACUCCAUAGAAGUCAAUUGGAAGAGAUAUUUGACUCCUUGUUAUUUUCAACCAUGUGUCUAUCUACACAAACCAGGAAGAAGUCAAAGGACCCUUUUCUUACCUAACCGGAUUCUCCGCCCUCAUGUUGGAAUUUGAUUAACCCAGCAGCCUACCUUUCUAAGUAUCAGCUCCCUAGCCUGAGACAAUGCUUAAGGUUCCAGGAAAUGAAACAGAAUAAUGAGUAGUUACCCUUUUAGACCCACGAUGACCUGGGACAGCAUUCCUUCAUAGGAACUGAUCCUGCACACCCUUACUAUUACAAUGGGAUCAGUUGUGUAAGCGCUUCAGUUUUAUCCGUAAAAAAUAGACUGCAGGUAUAAUUAUGGGGAGAGAGAAAAUUUCUGCUGUAGUUCAAGUUUAUAAGCUGCCUAUUAUAAAUUCAGUUUUGACCCUUCCCAACUAAACCAAUUCUUCACAUUAUUAUUUCCGAUUGCUGCAGUGUGUUAGGUUUUGUACAGAGGAAUAUCAUACCUGCAUUAAGGAAUUUAAACUGUAAAUUAAAUAAACUAUAUAGUUCAGAUAUACAGUACACCAAAUGAUGGUUCAAAAUUGUUUAGAUAUCUUUAUUUAAAAUUACGAUUUUAAAAGGCACAUGUAAUUUUGGUGAAUUAAUGUUCAUAAGAUCUGAAGAAGAAAAGUGUUUUAAGGAGGGACUGAAAUGAAUACAUUGUCUUAAUGCAAAAGACUUGUUUAAGGUUUUGAAAGUGAUUCUUUAAAGUAGGUUUUCCAAACUGUGCAUUAUGACCCAGAAAAGGGUCAUAGAAUGGGUGUGGGAUGAGUAAAAAUGUAAAAUUUAGUUUGUUUAAUCCACAAAUGUAAACUGAUUUUCUUUGGCUGCCUCUGAAGAGCCAUACUGAGCUGCAGUUGCAGAAGUUUGAAAAUUCUCAUCCCAUUUCAUCCUAAUAUCUUUAUAAAUCAAGUUCCUCUUCUGAUGGUGAUGAUAUAACAAAGAAAAAUUUCAAUUGCCUAUCUACUGAAAUGGUUUCAAAUUCAAUGGUCCAUGUUUCAUUAGCAAUACAGGCUAAACCACUUUGUUUAAUUGUACUUAAAGUGUUUCAUCUUCUUGAAAAUUGAAAUUUAUUUUCUGAAGCGUUAUAAAUAGCUUUUAUUUCUGAAA